AUCUACUGACAAGGUAAUUCUCACGAGUUUUGGCGGGGCGCCACUCUUGGAAGUUACAUGGCCGGUAGGAACUCGCUACAUCUAUGCUGUAUAGCUAUGCUAGGUGAACGAUUUGCCUAUUACAAGUUCGUUUGCCAACAAAUUGGCAUUGUUAAGGUGAAAAUCUUGCAUAGUGUGCCUUUAAUGUUAAUGUGUGUGUGUGUCAGGCUGAGUGGUUGUUUCCUCACAGAGAAGAGCUGUGCAGCUUUAUCUUCAGCUCUCAGAUCAAACUCCUCCAGUCUGAGACAGCUGAACCUGAGUAACAAUAAUCUGGGAGAUGCAGGAGUGGAGCUGCUUUAUACUGGUCUGGAGCAUCCAAACUGUAGACUGGAAACACUGGGCCUGUGAGGUUGUAACCUCACAGAGAAGAGUUGUGCAGCUUUAUCUUCAGCUCUCAGAUCAAACUCUUCCAGUCUGAGACAGCUGAACCUGAAUUAAAAUAAUGUGGGAGACUCAGGUGUGGAGCUGCUUUCUACUGGUCUGGAGCAUCCAAACUUUAGACUGGAGACACUGGAGCUGCGGUACUGUGAGCUCACAGAGAGGAGCUGUUCAUCUCUAGCUGCAGCUCUCAGAUCAAACCCCUCCAGUCUGAGAGAGCUGGACCUGAGAGGAAACAGACUGCAGCAGUCUGGAGUGGAGCUGCUCUCUGCUCUACAGAGAGACCCUACAUAUUAACUGACUGAACUAGAGUAGUAAUGAAUACAGCACAUAUAAUCACAAUCCAAGUUAGUGUCAGUGUCAAGUCAGUGUUGAGGAAUCCUAAUGGAGAAACCUCAUACUAAGCAUGAUGGAAUCUGCCAAAUCUCCUCAACAGGUAUGACGUGUAGAGCAUCAAUCAUCCAUCAGUGUGACUGGAGCAGAGCUGCUGCAGAUGCUCCAGUUUCCAGACACUCAGGACCAGAUGAUCCUCCAGCUGCCCCCACUCAUCAUAUGGGUCCACCUGCUACUGCUACACUUUAAAGGGGCAAUUUUGUAUUAUAAUAAAUAAUCAAUACCUAUGAUUAAACCAAUAUUUAAAAGUGAUAAAUUAAUGUCUGCUCUAAUUUAAUGU